UCCAUUUUUACAUGUUUCUUGUGGAUACGGUCCAUCCCAUCAACACAUACGGUUUCUUUUACAGGCUGCUUUCUUUAACCUCUGCUUUAUUUUUAUUUUAUUUUAUUUUGUUUCAAUGUCUUGUGCGGUUUCUUUUAGUCCUAGCGUUUCAUGACCCAGAAAGGGGUUGAAAAGAAUAUCUGCUUGCGUUCUAUUUAUGUUGUGCUAAAAGAGAAUUUCAUCGUCAAUACGCAUGGUGAAUGUAAAGUUCUUAACUCAACUCUCCAAGUUUAAUUUUU
rnacentral:lncRNA from 1 species